rnacentral:rRNA from 1 species
GAGAUAGAGCUUCCCCUUCAGGGGCAAAGUGACAGGUGGUGCAUGGUUGUCGUCAGCUCGUGUCGUGAGAUGUUGGGUUAAGUCCCGCAACGAGCGCAACCCUUAUUGUUAGUUGCCAUCAUUUAGUUGGGCACUCUAGCGAGACUGCCGGUGACAAACCGGAGGAAGGUGGGGAUGACGUCAAAUCAUCAUGCCCCUUAUGACCUGGGCUACACACGUGCUACAAUGGGAAGUACAACGAGUUGCGAAGUCGCGAGGCUAAGCUAAUCUCUUAAAGCUUCUCUCAGUUCGGAUUGUAGGCUGCAACUCGCCUACAUGAAGCCGGAAUCGCUAGUAAUCGCGGAUCAGCACGCCGCGGUGAAUACGUUCCCGGGCCUUGUACACACCGCCCGUCACACCACGAGAGUUUGUAACACCCGAAGUCGGUGAGGUAACCUUUUUGGAGCCAGCCGCCUAAGGUGGGAUAGAUGAUUGGGGUGAAGUCGUAACAAGGUAGCCGUAUCGGAA